AUUGAACGCUGGCGGAAUGCUUUACACAUGCAAGUCGAGCGGCAGCGCGGGGGCAACCCUGGCGGCGAGCGGCGAACGGGUGAGUAAUGUAUCGGAACGUACCCUGUCGUGGGGGAUAACACAGCGAAAGCUGUGCUAAUACCGCAUACGACCUGAGGGUGAAAGCGGGGGACCGUAAGGCCUCGCGCGAUAGGAGCGGCCGAUAUCGGAUUAGCUUGUUGGUGAGGUAAAGGCUCACCAAGGCGACGAUCCGUAGCUGGUCUGAGAGGACGACCAGCCACACUGGAACUGAGACACGGUCCAGACUCCUACGGGAGGCAGCAGUGGGGAAUUUUGGACAAUGGGGGCAACCCUGAUCCAGCCAUUCCGCGUGAGUGAAGAAGGCC
rnacentral:rRNA from 1 species